CUGACUUCAGCUCUGAGAUCAAACCCAUCACACCUGACACAUCUGGAUCUGUCUGAUAAUAAUAAUCUAAGAGAUUCAGGAGUGAAGCUGAUCUCUGAUGUACUGAAGAAUCCUGACUGUAAACUGGAGAUACUGAAGUUGAGUUUGUGUUAUAUCACAGAUGAAGGUUGUGUUGCUCUGACUUCAGCUCUGAGAUCAAACCCAUCACACCUGACACAUCUGGAUCUGUCUGGUAAUAAUCUCACAGAUUCAGGAGUGAAGCUGAUCUCUGAUCUAAAAGAUGAUCCACAUUAUAAACUACAGACAGUACGGAUUCAUGCACAGAUGAUGGUAUAGAUGUAAAAAUGUCUGAUCUUCAGUAUGAUCGGCUGGUGAAUAAGACGACACAAUAGUGACAUCACUUCCUCUUAACCGUAUGAGUUGAUUAUUCAGUACAGGAUCUGAUCUGUGACUUUAUCUAAAUCUGACUUUGAAAUGUUGGAGGUAAAUCUUCAUCCUAACUCAGCUUCUGUCUACACAUUUCCUAUAAGAGUGAUUUAUCAGUCAGUGUAAGAGGAGCAAGAAAUCUCAUAGGAUCAUAAACUGAAGAAAAUACAGACAAGAUUCCUCUUCUUCUACACUGUUGGGGUUUUUAACUUCAUCUUAAACUAAAAUGUGUUCCAGUUCAGCACAACAUUGAAGACUCGCAGCUCAUUUAUCUCUAAAUCCAAAUAUUGGACGUCUUUGCUUUUGUGUUCUUUAGGAUCUGACUGCAGGACUUUUUGAAUCUUAUAAAUUCAUGUCUGAUACUGGAUUCUAGCUGUUUAAGAGUUUUCUUUCUUGUAUUUUUCACUUCAAAUGUUUGUCAGAUGGUUUUCAGAUCUGGACUGUGUUCAGGACUCUUCUACUAUAAACUCAUGCUGUUGUAAUAGAUGCAGUAUGAAGUUUAUCAAUGUCUUACUGAAAUAGACAAAGACAGAUGAAAGCAGAUGUUGCUCUUUCAGUAUUGAUGAGGUCUUUCCAGAUGUGAAAGCUGCUCAUUUAGACGCUAAUCCUCCUCCAUACCAACAGAGAUGAAGGCUUUUGAUGUGAGCACUGAUAACAAUACAGAUGAUCUCUCUCCUCUUUAGUUUCCAAACUUUGAUUUGUCUGAUCACAGAACAGU